rfam:Triticum aestivum genome assembly, contig: Triticum_aestivum_CS42_TGACv1_scaffold_030451_1BL
CAACUACUCCCUCUGUCCCAAAUUUGUUGUCUUAGAUUUGUCUAGAUACGGAUGUAUUUGUCUAGAUACGUAUGUAUCUAAUACUAAAAUGUGACUUGAUACAUCCGUAUCUAGACAAAUCUAAGACAAGAAUUUUGGGACGGAGGGAGUACUUU